CUCUUAUAUUCCCUCCUGUGUCUGGCCUUGCCCCAAGUACGUGAUGCUUGAGCAGCUAAAGGUGAUGCGGGGCACCUCGCCCAUGCCCCCAGCCCCUGUGCCAGGCCUUUCUCCCUGGGCCUCCGCCUCCCGGGACCUGGUUCCCACCACCUGCCUUCCUCCCAUGCUGCCCUCCUCCUCGUUCGCUUCCAUCACGCCUUCACCUAAGAUGGAAAAGCUGCUGCUCCCUGCUGUAGACUUAGAGCAGUGGUACCAGGAGCUGAUGGCCGGGCUGGGGACUGGCCCCGCUGCAGCCUCCCCUCACUCUUCUCCCCCGCCUCUGCCCGCCAAAGCUUCCCGUCAACUGCAGGUUUACCGCUCCAAGAUGGAUGGCGAGGCCACCAGCCCCCUUCCCCAGACCCGCAGUGGCCCCCUCCCCUCCUCCUCUGGCUCUUCCUCCUCCUCCUCCCAGCUCAGCGUGGCUACCCUGGGGCGUAGCCCCUCCCCAAAGAGCGCUCUACUCACCCAGAAUGGCACGGGCAGCCUUCCUCGCAACCUGGCAGCCACACUGCAGGACAUCGAGACCAAGCGCCAACUAGCUCUGCAGCAGAAGGGACAACAGGUGAUUGAAGAGCAGCGGCGGCGACUGGCUGAGCUGAAGCAGAAAGCGGCAGCUGAGGCACAGUGCCAGUGGGAUGCCCUUCAUGGGGCAGCACCCUUCCCAGCGGGCCCCUCGGGCUUCCCCCCUCUCAUGCACCACUCUAUCCUACACCACCUGCCUGCGGGGCGGGAGCGUGGGGAGGAGGGUGAGCACGCCUACGAUACGCUGAGUCUGGAGAGCUCUGACAGCAUGGAGACCAGCAUCUCCACCGGGGGCAACUCGGCCUGCUCCCCUGACAACAUGUCCAGCGCGAGUGGUCUGGACAUGGGGAAGAUCGAGGAGAUGGAGAAGAUGCUGAAAGAGGCUCAUGCAGAGAAGAACCGGCUCAUGGAGUCGAGGGAGCGGGAGAUGGAGCUGCGGCGGCAGGCCCUGGAGGAGGAGCGGCGGAGGCGUGAGCAGGUAGAACGGAGGCUGCAGAGUGAGAGUGCCCGGAGGCAGCAGCUGGUCGAGAAGGAGGUCAAGAUGCGGGAGAAACAAUUUUCCCAGGCACGACCCCUGACCCGCUACCUGCCAAUCCGGAAGGAGGACUUUGACCUGAAGACACAUAUUGAGUCAUCGGGCCAUGGUGUUGAUACCUGCCUGCACGUGGUGCUCAGCAGCAAGGUCUGCCGUGGCUACUUGGUCAAGAUGGGCGGCAAGAUUAAAUCAUGGAAGAAGCGCUGGUUUGUCUUCGACCGGCUCAAGCGCACCCUUUCCUAUUAUGUGGACAAGCAUGAGACGAAGCUGAAGGGAGUCAUCUAUUUCCAGGCCAUUGAGGAAGUGUACUACGACCACCUGCGCAGUGCAGCCAAGAGCCCGAACCCAGCCCUCACCUUCUGCGUAAAGACCCAUGACCGACUGUACUACAUGGUGGCCCCAUCUGCAGAGGCCAUGCGUAUCUGGAUGGAUGUCAUUGUCACAGGGGCUGAGGGCUACACUCAGUUCAUGAACUAACUGCCAUGGGCCUCCUGG
rnacentral:sRNA from 1 species